rnacentral:lncRNA from 1 species
AGAUUUGUUUUAACACGAAGUAAAACAGAAAGGGCACUACUGAAAAAAAACAGAAUCCCGUCCGUCCUUUCAGGGGAAGGAAAUUGGCUUGCAAACCUCACUCUUCUCUCUGUUUGCCUCAGAUUCUACCUGUUUAGAUUUCAGACUGGCCCUGGAUCUUGGGCUACAAUAUAGGGUCCAUCAUCACCCUAAGAACAGAGAUGACAGGUUUAAGGGUGAUGCAGCUUGGGGAGGCCUGCACUGAAGCACGGCAAGGAAGAACGAAGCUAUUCCUAGAUUAGGCUGGACAGAAACUGAGCAGGCACUCAAGAAUAAAGGACAGGCAUAUUCACAGUGAGUGUGCAGAGGGUACCUGCAGAUGCCCAGCUGCUUAUCAAACUGGUGAAUAGGCUGCAGGUCCCACAGGUUGGAAAGUAAGAUGGUUCGGCUGCUGUGAAGAAUGCUGUAUGACAAUCAACAUGUUUACUGUGGACCUACCACAGGACCAGUCACUCUCUCUGUGGAUGUUACAGCCAUGGCAUAGAAGUGCUGUUUCUAACAGCCAAAAGCCAAGAGCCAGGCAAGUGACUGCCAAUGUACAAAAGAUGAACCUCCCAGAACAGAACCACCAGCAGGGACCAAGCAUCCAAACCACUGGGCUCUGGGGAAGAUUUCACACUCAGGACCUUCCAGGAGUCCAUGUUCUUCUUUCACACUCACAAGGAGAAAUUCGAGAAGAAAGUCACCUGGCUGGAAGAGCCACACCGCAUGGUCUGUCCACGGUCGCUGGUUUUAAAGCAGCAACUCCUAUAAUGCCAAAAUAACGAACGCUCCUUCUGCUUCAGGAUUCAAACUCCAAGCUUGCUAAGUUUUAUAAAGCAAAAGAAGGAAAUGAAUCCAAUAAAGCUAUUAAGUUAUAGUCAA